ACGAGAGGAAGAUGGGAGAGAAAGUCGUCCCAAUUAUAUUUACUCCUCAUGUGUUAAGUUUUUCAACUUAAUCACAGCUGUCUUGGUAGCGAUCAAUUCAAUUUGGAGCAUAGAUAAAAUCCAAGACGAGAAAAGGCGACAUAUAUGGGCUACUCAGGUCAUGAAGCAAUUGGUUGAGCAUAGUAAUUUAUACAAGAAUGUCGUACAAAAUCCUGGAGAAACUCCAGACGAUAAACAUAAAUUUGGAGAUGUUCCUGAUCCUACCAAAUUGGAUCCGGAGGAGCCAAGUGGAAGUACAAGUCAUACAGAGAAGAAAGACAAUAAGGAAGAUAAGAAGAAUGACAAUUUGGAAGACAAGAAGAAGGAUAAUUUGGAA